UUGGACUUCUCGCGUCCGAGAGGCUCGCAUCUCAAACUUAGGACCGCGCGCCUCACACCUGGACUGGAUAGGCCCGCCGCACCCGGGAUGGACCGCAGACCAGGUGGGUACGGGCAACAUUUUUUUCUUUCAUUGUUAUUCUUAUUAUUAUUUUCCAAACUUUUAAAGGGAUCUGUGUACUCAACUGGAAUGAGGGAUGUUUUAAAUGCAAGGAGCUUUUCAGUAUUCAUCCAAUCACAUUUUCCCUCAUUUUGAGUGUUUUUUUCUUCUCAAUUAUUUUAUUUUAUCUUAUUUUUAUGGCCGUUCACCGCGAGUCCACACCCGGAGGAAGCAGAGUUGCAAAGGCCGAUCGGUGACGACGAAGAUCCGGCGCUCACUCACAAGUCUGAUUUGACGCGUGUGAGAUUUAAUUGACAUGUGGGAGAGUCCAGUCUGCAGCGAGGGAAGCCAUCACCCCAUCAGACUUAAUUGGCGCACGCAACGAGAGUCGCUGUCCCCAACUCAACGAUUGUGCACCAUCAGUGCUGUUUAGUGUUUGCAUCUGUCGUCCUUCGUUUAUUCCUCAUGGUUGGGUGCCCCUGGUGGCAGGUCGCUGCAUUGCUCGCAUUUUCGCGCUGAGCAUGGAUCUAGGCUUCUCAACACUUAAAUUUGUUCUAUUUACAAUACAAAUCAGAAAGGCUGGGGGGGGGGUGUCCUUUCGUGAGAGUAGAUGUCUCUUAUUGGCAUUCUUUAACUAUAACGUGUGUAACGUGUGCAUAUAAUAUGUCACACACAUGAUUUGAAACCAGUGAGGCGCAUUUAAAAAAAAAAAGAAAAUUAAAUUAACACUUUUUCCGUGGUUCUACUAAUGUAAAUUACAAUACUUUGCAUGCUAGUUUGACUUCUUUCUCGUAGUUUAUCGUGCAAAAUCAUAUAUAUUGUAGGGGGUCUGCCCAACACAGAAAGCAAAGCAAAUCUUAAAA